rnacentral:rRNA from 1 species
AAGAUGUACCGGGGCUCAAGCCACGAGCCGAAGCUUUGGGUUCGCCGUAAGGCGAGCGGUAGCGGAGCGUUCCGUAAGCCUGUGAAGGGACAGUCGUGAGACAUCCUGGAGGUAUCGGAAGUGCGAAUGCUGACAUGAGUAACGACAAACACUGUAGAAAGACAGUGUCGCCGAAAGUCCAAGGGUUCCUGCGUAAAGUUAAUCUUCGCAGGGUUAGCCGGCCCCUAAGGCGAGGCAGAAAUGCGUAGUCGAUGGGAACCACGUUAAUAUUCGUGGGCCAGCGGGUGGUGACGGAUCUCUUAUAUCGUUCGGUCUUACUGGAUUGACCGGGCGGUGACGAGGUUCCAGGAAAUAGCCCCCGCAUGAGACCGUACCCGAAACCGACACAGGUGGACAGGUAGAGUAUACCAAGGCGCUUGAGAGAAUGACGCUGAAGGAACUCGGCAAUUUGCCUCCGUAACUUCGGGAUAAGGAGGCCCAUGCGUCGCGCAAGCGGCGUGUGGGGGCACAGACCAGGGGGUGGCAACUGUUUAACAAAAACACAGGGC